rnacentral:rRNA from 1 species
AUGGCCGCCCCCGUCUCCACUUCCCUCUUGCCUCUCGCGAGGAGCGCACCUUCUUUCACUGGUCCGCACUACAAGAAUAAGAGAAAGAUUCCGAUGGUGCGGGUCUUCUGUGCUGCCGACGACGACGAGGAAGUCAACGAUUUGGGAGUCAACGUGGCACUAUCGAUGCUAAAAUUCUACAAAAGAGAGAUAUCACCCUUGCUGCCUUCUAGCUGCCGUUAUGUGCCAACAUGCAGCGAGUACUCUAUGCAGGCGUACAAAAGAUAUGGUGUUGCGAAGGGUACAAUCUUGACAGCAUGGCGUCUGUGCCGUUGUAAUCCUCUUGAUGUUGGAAUGCCUCACAAGAUAUCAUCUCAUCGCAACUUCAUAAAGGAGUGUCAGGACCCAAAUGUCUCUGUCUGA